rnacentral:rRNA from 1 species
GGAAUACGAAGGGGGCUAGCGUUGUUCGGAAUUAAUGGGAGGAAAGCGCACGGAGGCGGAUAAUUAAGGCAGGGGUGAAAUCCCGGGGCUCAACCCCGGAACUGCCUUUGAUACUGGGUAUCUGGAGUAUGGAAGAGGUAAGUGGAAUUCCGAGUGUAGAGGUGAAAUUCGUAGAUAUUCGGAGGAACACCAGUGGCGAAGGCGGCUUACUGGUCCAUUACUGACGCUGAGGUGCGAAAGCGUGGGGAGCAAA